AUCGCACCGGAGUGGCCCAACCCCAACAUUUCCUUCCUCUGCUCUCUCUGCUCCGGUCCCGACGACGGCGGCACGGAGGCACCGGAUGGCGGGCAAGGGCGAAGCCGCGUCGCCUUGGGGCUGCUGUGCUCCACGGCCGGCAUCGGCAUGGCCUCUCCUCCGUCGCUGGAGCUGGAAGCAAGCGUCGCAGGCUCAGCUAGCUAAGAUCAGGCAGGCGGCAGCGGCAUCCAUCACCGGCGAACCAUCAAGGCGCCCUUGUCCAUCCCUGCAUCCGGCCAAGGGAUGGCUGAGACCGCCCUCGGCGCCGCACAAUGGGUGGUGAGCAAGGCGCUAGCCCCCUUCGCGGAUGGCGUGCUGGAGGCUUGGGCGGCCACCAGGACAUUUGGCCUCAACAUCCAGGCCCUCAAAACUGAACUGGAGAAGGUGCAGGCCACGCUUGAAAUAGCCGCCACCAAGGAGCUCCCCGGGCUGGCCACGGAGAAGAUGCUGCAGAAGUUGUGGGACUCGGCGCACAAUGCCGAGGACUUGCUGGACGAGCUGGACUACUUCCGCAUCCACGACGAGCUCCACGGCACGUACGACGCUGCCGACCAGCACGGGGACGAUGCCCUCCGCGACCUCGCCUUUGAUGCUCGCCACACCAUCAAAGCUCUUGGCAAACUGGUCAACUGUUUCCCAUGGCAGCGUGCUGAGCUCCAGCAGAGGCCAACCAGCAUCAUCCAGGAGUUCAGCGGAUGCAUGCCCAGCCUCGGUAAACUGCUCCUUUCCUCAUGUUCCCCACAUCCACAUGUUCAUGGUGAUGAAGAUCGUGGCAUUGCGCAAGAAACACCGAUGCCUGAGUUUAACAGGGCUGAUUUCUCCCAAAGGAUGAAGGACACUGUAGAGCAACUAAAGCUUAUGCGUAUUGAUGUUAAGGAUAUUCUGCAGACUUGUGGCCACAGAACUGUCCUAGACAUUUCCCAGCGUCGUGCCACCACCACACCUCAGAGUGCAGAGCCAAAACUGUAUGGGAGGGACCAUGUCAUGAAUAAUAUCAUACAUGAUAUCACCGAGGGUCAAUACUGUGACAAGGGUCUAACCGUGCUUCCGGUUAUUGGUCCGGGGGGAAUGGGGAAGACAACCAUGAUACAACACAUAUAUAACAACCAACAAGUGCAGAAUCAUUUUCCAGUCAGGAUUUGGAUAUGUGUGUCGUUCAAUUUCAACCUGGAUAAGGUGCUGGAGCAGAUUAAAGAAGAUACCCUUGCGGUUGAAGGUGAGAAUGGGUGUAGCACAACACAAGAGCUGAUUGAACACAGAUUGAAACACAAAAGGUUCUUACUUGUAUUGGAUGAUAUAUGGCAGUUUACUGAUGUGGAUGACUGGAAAAAACUAUUGUUGAUACUCGGCAAGUCACAAGAGAAGGGUUCCGUGAUUCUAGUCACAACUCGGCAAAAAGAAAUAGCAGACCAGGUUAAGAAAAGUGCAGAGCCAAAAGAACUGAACGGUUUAGAACCUGGAGAGUUUAAGAAGUUAUUCCUUGUAUAUGUCUUUGAUGUUGAGCAAUGUCCAGGGGAUAAACGUUUUUUGCUUGACACUGGAGAUAAGAUAAUGGGAAAACUGAAGGGCUCCCCUCUUGCAGCAAAGACUGUUGGUAGAUUACUGAGGACAGACCCUAGUUUGGCUCAUUGGAAAAGGGUCCUAAACAGCAAACAAUGGGCGAAACAGUCCAAUGGAAUUAUGCUUGCCUUGGAGCUUAGCUAUGGCUUUCUCCCUUUCCAUUUGCAACGGUGUUUUUCCUAUUCUGCAUUAUUUCCUGAAGAUUACCGUUUCAGAAGCCGUGAGCUCAUCAGCCUAUGGAUCGGACUAGAUAUUUUGACACCUUCUGAUCAAAACCCAACCUUUGAAGGCAUAGGUCUGAGCAUUUUGAAUGAUCUAGUCAUCCAUGGAUUUUUCAGAGAAUAUAAAACUGAUGGUGGUCUGCGGUAUGUUAUGCAUGACCUACUGCAUGAGUUGGCAUUGAAGGUUGCAUCACAUGACUGUCUUCGUCUUCGUCUCCCUGAUGUUGGAUCGGUAGAAAUUAAGCCAUCCACCCGACACUUGUCUAUAAGCAUAGAGAACUUGGGUGGAUAUAAUGGUCAAAAAUUAAAGAGGGAAUUGGAAAAACUGAAGACAAGAUUGAAGGUUGAACAUUUGCAAACACUGAUGUUAUUUGGAGCAAUGGAUGAAGGUUCUGCUAAGAUAUUUGGUGAUUUUCUCGGGGAAGCAAAUGCUCUUCGUGUUCUUUAUUUGCCCCUCCUGAAGUAUCCCGUGGAGUCCAUGGUACAUAAUUUUUCAGGACUUGUCCACCUACGAUUCCUAUGUCUAGGGUGUUUACCAAUUAACAUCUCUAAAUUUUAUCAUCUAAGGGUUCUAGAUCUUAAGUCAUGGUCUAGCAGUGGUGAUUUUCCUGAAGACACAAGCAACCUUGCAAAAUUGUGCCAUUAUUAUACCCCAAGAGAUGAUAAGCUUCAUUAUGAUAUUUGUAAUGUGGGAAAAAUUCAGCUCUUGGAAAAGUUGAAGGUAUUUCGGGUCAAUAAAAAAAAAGAAGGAUUUGAACCAAAGCAACUAGAGCCACUGACCAAGCUAUGGGAGCUUGGCAUCUACAACCUUGAGAAAAUACAUACAAAAAAAGAAGCAGCUCAAGCAAAACUGAUUGAGAAGAAAUACUUGAGGAGGUUAACAUUGGAUUGGGAUAGUAAGCGAUCUAGUGAUGAGCCUGGUGUGGAAGCAAUGGUUCUUGAGUGCCUUCGACCACAUGAAAAUCUUGAAGUGUUGUGCAUUAGAGGGCACAGAGGCCCCACUUGUCCAAGAUGGCUGGGUGAUGAGCUUGCUGUUGAAGCUCUACAAUUUCUUCGUCUUGAUGGUGUUUCUUGGAAGGUUUUCCCUUCUUUACGGAACAUGGGGGAUCUUUGUGAGCUUGAGAUACAAGAUUGUCCAGAAUUCUCGUCUGUGAUUCCCACCUCCUGGAUUGAGAGUUUGCGUCGCGUCUCGAUUGAAGGUGUCAAGCUACUAAAGAGGUUUGCAUACUCAAAAUCAUCACAUGGAGCACAACUGGAAAUCAUUGGAUGGGGUGAUCUGCAAAGGUUAGACCAAGUGUUAGUUUUCGAUAAAGAAACAGGUCUUGAGAAGCUGACACUCGAGAGAUGCCCACCUUUGGAGUUGAAGCACCUUCUGAUGCUAACCUCGCUGAAGACACUGAUUUUAAAGCAUUCAGCUGGUCUGGCUGGUCUGGCUGGACUACUAGGAGGUCAGGGUGAUGUGGAAUGGCAGCUCCCUGUUGAGCACAUCGAGAUCUGCCACUUACAUGGUAAUAGUUGGAAUGAAUUGACAGAGCUCUUCCCACACCUCCCAAAGCUCUCCAAAUUGGAGAUACGGGAUUGUAAAAACAUAAAACAGCUGGUAGUGGGGGUGGAUCUGCGACAAACAACACCAGAGAUGGGGGGAGGUGAAAUAACAGCAGCAACGGAGGAAGAGGACGAUGGAGUACUGCUCUUCCCAGCUCAUCUCUGUAACUCACUACAGAAAUUGAAGUUAUUUUCAUGCCCAGAGCUGGUCCUGGUGGACCCGCCAACUCUUGUUCCUGGAGGAGGAUGGCUCCAAGCCUUGCGAUCCCUCCAGAGAUUAAGCAUAAAGUAUUGCCCAAAGUUUCUAUCCGCCUUCUCGUUUUCCACUCACAUUUUCCCUUCCUCCCUGCAAUUCCUGGAGCUUACGAAACUAGAAGGGAUGGGGACACUAGAGCCUCUCUCAAACCUUUCUUCUCUUACCAGAUUAGUAUUGGAAUUUUGUGGAAAGGACCUGAAAUGUCAGGGACUGCAGUCUCUCCUUACCACCGGCGGCCAGCUCAAGGAAUUGGAAGUCAGGGGCAGCCAUGGAUUCUUUGCUAAUUGGGAUCCAAAUCCCAGACGGGCUUUGGAGGAUGUUGAAGGAGGACAAGAGCAGCCAACACAGCUUGUUUCAUCCACGCUGCGGAAGCUUUGCACAGACGACGCAGCUGGACUCCUUGCUGCACCCAUCUGCAGCUUCCUUUCUUCCUCUCUCACCAAGCUGAAACUUCAUGGGUAUGGGCCUGAAGGGAUGGAGCGCUUCAGCAAGGAGCAAGAGGACGCCCUUCAGCUCCUCUCCUCCCUCCAGAAACUUGAGUUUAGGCAUUUCCACCAUCUUCAGCAAAUCCCUGCAGGGUUGUGCAACCUUACCAGCCUCAAGAUGUUAUCAAUCAACCACUGUCCUGCUGUCUCGUCAUUGCCCAGUGAUGGCCUCCCCAAGUCACUGGAAAAGCUAGAUGUCUAUGACUGCAGCGAGGUGCUAAAACGCCAGUGCAGGUGGAUGCUGGGAACGAUCCCCAAAACCAUAAGAGGAUGAUCCAAGGACAAUGCCUUGGAGUUCCCUUGUACAUUCUUCUAGCCAUGUAGUGCUCUGCUCUUUCCAUACAUACACACUUGCCACAUGCAUGACAUGAGGGUCUUGUGGACGCUGUCUUCCUUCCUGUACAAAUUAUCUGGUGUUCGUUUGAUCCUGUAGGCUUCUUCAUAUUUGCAUUUUAAAUUUGGGUUAUUGUUAUUCAUCAAGACGCGGUAGUAUACUUGCAUAAUUUGGGUUUCACAAUCAGAAUUAUGGAAUAAAUGAGAAUAUGAGUGAAGAACUGAACAAACUCAUAUUAAGGUGUUCUUGUGCUUCUGAUGGAUGUCUGAAGCUUGUCGCCUGGUAACGUCGCUCAGACUGACUUAAAAUUGCUGCAUGCUUUGCCAGCCAACAUAACAUGGAAUGGAAGGUACCCUACCCUGCCUGCUAGCAAAAUGUUCAGCUUGUCCUUGAACCAGUUUAUCCCAUAAUCAUGGUGGUAUGCAAGGAGUGCCACACUCGUACUCGAUGGCUCCAGCAAUGUGUGUACCUGAAACACUGCAGAACAUUGAUUCAUGUGAGAAUUGGCUUGCAAGAAGUCCAUGGAGUAGGAGUUAUGCAGAUCUAUAGAGAUGGAAUAUGCUAAGGAAGAAGAAGCAGAGUGACACAUUGACUAGCCUAGCAGAAGCAUAGCCUGCAGCUUGGUACGUCGCCCGGAAUUAAAUUUCCGUGAUGAUUGAGUACAUCAAGUACUCAAUGUGUGCAGUACAGAAGUCAUAAUAAUCCUGGAAGAUUUUCCCGCAAAAAGACACUGGAAGAUUUGCUGGCUUUAUGAGGAGAUGAGAAGACGUGGCGGGUGAUCACCUCCCCUGCUUUUCAACCAUACAGACCCGAUGCUUGCUUGCUUGCUUGCUUGGAGUAAGGUUGUCUGCCAUUGCCUGUGUUGAUUGUUGGUAGUGGUGCAUGCAAUCGGCGCAGAACCGUCCAAUUCCAAUCCAGGUUUGCCAUCAGGCCUUGAUGCAGUUGGUGAACCUGUGAUGUUGUACAAAGUGAAAUUUCUCUUUUGAAGUGUACAUUCCUUCAUAAAAAAGGCAGGUAGAAGAUGAUUGGUGUUCACCACAUGAUAGACAUGCUAUGUACUAUAUUACCAUUGUGUGUAAAAAACCAAAAACGGAUUUGGGGGUUGUUUUCUUCAAAUUUUCCCCAGCGUUGUUGCUCAAUCACCACAAAAAAAA